rnacentral:rRNA from 1 species
AACGAACGCUGGCGGCAUGCCUAACACAUGCAAGUCGAACGGGAUCCUAGCUUGCUAGGUGAGAGUGGCGGACGGGUGAGUAACACGUGGGAAUCUGCCUUUUGGUUCGGGAUAACCGCGGGAAACUGCGGCUAAUACCGAAUGCCCUCGAGAGAGGAAAGAUUUAUCGCCAGAAGAGGAGCCCGCGUCCGAUUAGGUAGUUGGUGGGGUAAAGCCUACCAAGCCGACGAUCGGUAGCUGGUCUGAGAGGAUGAUCAGCCACACUGGGACUGAGAUACGGCCCAGACUCCUACGGGAGGCAGCAGUGGGGAAUAUUGGACAAUGGGGGCAACCCUGAUCCAGCAAUGCCGCGUGAGUGAUGAAGGCCUUAGGGUUGUAAAGCUCUUUUGCCAGGGAAGAUGAUGACUGUACCUGGAGAAUAAGCCCGGCUAACUUCGUGCCAGCAGCCGCGGUAA